rnacentral:lncRNA from 1 species
GAAAGAGUGGAUUUGAAAAGAGAGCUGUCCAGAACUGUGUUCCCAUAUAUUUCUAGCAGAAGUGCAAUUCUCCUUUAAAAUUUCUGUUACGUCAGUAAGAGCUUGGUGUUAUUUGAGAAUGGAGCCUCUAUGACCUCUCAUUCUGCCAAUUUCUUUGUUGGAAAUAAGCUAUCAAUCAUAUUUAUUUGUUUAUGUCAAAGGCUCUAGGAAGUUUCCAGUUUUCGUGUGAGCAUGUGACGUCACCUGAGACUCCAUCUUCAGGUUUGUGCCUAAUAUUAUCCUUCUAGAGGCUUUCAUUUCCACAAUUAUUUGAGAAUGGUCAUGGAGGGAAGGAAACCAGCUGGUUUGAGGGGCUUUAUGCAUGUGUGCUGUGACUGAAGUGACUGAGAGAGGGCUCUGUGACAUCUGUAAGGAUUUUUAUGAACACAACAAAAAACCUUAGUUUCUUCAACUGCUGAGGAUGCUGGUAUUACUUCAAUCAUUCACCACUGUCUUUUGUGGUCUCUUCUUUCUUGAUGUUUGAACAUUUCAAUGCAUCUGAAGUAUUUACUGAACACCUAAGUAAAGUUUCUCAUCCUCUCUGCCUGAUUUAAAGCUGCCAGUCCAAAAGAUCAGUAUAGGCUUCUUCCAGCAUGACUUUAAUCAAUUUUGCCAUAUACUAGCGAAUGUAACUUUCUUUCAAAUUUACUUCUCUUUUCUAACCCGAUCUUCAACUGUUCUGCAGUUCAUACUCUGAGGCCAGCUGACAUUAAAGUAGUCACUGCAAUAGGAAGUUUGCAAACACUAGCGGGAUCCAGCAUACAUCAUGAAGAUCUACUCCAAAGCACAGGAAAGAGCCUCCCUGAAGUGAGCGUGGAAAUUUUGGCAGCUCUUAUUAGCAGUUUUAAUCCCUCGGUCCUGCACCAGUCUCCUCUGCCUGGCACAAUGGGAGCAGCAUCAGACGGUCAAACAAUGUAAGUUUGAGGGUUUUUUGGCUGGGCAGUUCAUUUAUAUCAGGAAAGGCAGAAGGUAGACACAUUUGAUGCUGGAGAAUUUCACUGAACACAGAAUAUGUUCAGUGU